rnacentral:rRNA from 1 species
UAAACUACGAUUAGAUACCCUAUUAUUUUAAAUGUUAAAUUUUUAUUGCUUGAGUAGUAAUAGAUAUGUUCUUGAAACUCAAAGAAUUUGGCGGUGUUUUAGUCCUUUCAGAGGAACCUGUCCCAUAAUCGAUAUUCCACGUUAUAUCUUACUUAGUUUAGUGAUCAGCUUGUAUACCGCCGUCGUCAGAAUGUCCUUUUAGGGAAGAAAUUUUCUAGAAUUUUUAUUAUAAAUAAUGUCAGGUCAAGGUGCAGUUUAUAAUUAAGUGGAGGUGGGUUACAAUAAAUUUAUUUAUUUAUGGAUAAUGAUUUGAAAUAAUUGUUUGAAGGUGGAUUUGAUGGUAAUUUUGAAUAUUAUAUUAAAUUGAUUAUUGGCUCUAAAACAUGCACACAUCGCCCGUCGCUCUUA